UACGGGGGGAGCAAGCGUUGUUCGGAUUUACUGGGCGUAAAGGGCGCGUAGGCGGCCACUGCAAGUCAGUUGUGAAAUCUCCGGGCUUAACCCGGAAAGGUCAACUGAUACUGCAGGGCUAGAGUGCAGAAGGGGCAACUGGAAUUCUCGGUGUAGCGGUGAAAUGCGUAGAUAUCGAGAGGAACACCUGCGGCGAAGGCGGGUUGCUGGGCUGACACUGACGCUGAUGUGCGAAAGUUAGGGGAGCGAACGGG
rnacentral:rRNA from 1 species